UCGGGUUUCCAGUUUUUCCAUAAGAACUGGUGGUGCGGAUGGGAAACUCUCCCGCCUGGUUUCUUAUUUCCAGUCAAAAAAUAAGUGGUGGAUCCAAAU
ncrna:unclassified sequences wcaG RNA